AUACUUUUUUCCCCACUGUAUUAAAUUGAUUUUUGGAGCAGGGAGAUGGAAUAGGGGCUUGCUCCAUCCACUCCACGCAUCGACCCGGUAUUUCAGUAUCUCUGGGAACGGUGCACCCCUC
ensembl:snRNA U2 U2 spliceosomal RNA